UAUGGCCAUAUCACAUUGAAACAUCGGUUCCCGUACGAACACCGUAGUUAAGCAACGUCCAGCCAUAUCAAUAUUUAGAUGGGUAACCGCAUGGGAAUACCGAGUACUGUAAG